UACGGAGGGAGCUAGCGUUGUUCGGAAUUACUGGGCGUAAAGCGCGCGUAGGCGGCUAUUCAAGUCAGAGGUGAAAGCCUGGAGCUCAACUCCGGAACUGCCUUUGAAACUAGAUAGCUAGAAUCUUGGAGAGGCGAGUGGAAUUCCGAGUGUAGAGGUGAAAUUCGUAGAUAUUCGGAAGAACACCAGUGGCGAAGGCGACUCGCUGGACAAGUAUUGACGCUGAGGUGCGAAAGCGUGGGGAGCAAACAGG
rnacentral:rRNA from 1 species